UCGAAAGCCUGUCUCAGUUCGGAUUGGAGGCUGAAACCCGCCUCCAUGAAGUUGGAUUCGCUAGUAAUCGCGCAUCAGCCAUGGCGCGGUGAAUACGUUCCCGGGCCUUGUACACACCGCCCGUCAAGCCAUGGGAGCCGGGGGCGCCUGAAGUCCGGGACCGCGAGGACCGGCCUAGGGCGAAACUGGUAACUGGGGCUAAGUCGUAACAAGGUAGC
rnacentral:rRNA from 1 species